rnacentral:rRNA from 1 species
UUGAAAGGGAAACGAUUGAAGUCAGUCGUACCUGCGGGUAAUCAGCCUUUUGGGCAUGAUUCUGUGGAGCGUGAGGAGUUAAACGCCUUCAUGCCUGCAUAUUCGUGUACUUUGGGUGUACUUGCCUGUGUGGUUAGUUAACAUCAAUUUUGGUUAUCAUAAAAUGGCUGGAGGAAUGUAGCUUCGAUUUCGAUUGAAGUGUUAUAGACUUCGGCAGAUGUGAUGAUCGGGAUUGAGGAUUGCAACGGAUACCCUUCGGGGCUACCUGUCUGAUCUCUGAUCGUUGCUCUGGUGCCAAAAGCGUGCUUACGGUUAUCAAAGUCGAUGGUCAAUAGGUUAGAAUGGGUUAAAUUCGUUAAGGAUGUUGACGUA